AUAAAGUUUAAUUCUAGUUUAAAAAUUUAUUUAAUUUUUUUUUUACAUGUAAAUUUUUGUAUGAAUAUUAAUUAAAUUUUAAUAAUUUAUUUAAAAUGGAUUUAUUCGCAGUAUUUAAUUUUAAUAAUUUAAGAAAUUGAGAAUUAGAAAUAAAUUUUAGUAUUAACAAAUUUUGUGCCAGCAGUUGCGGUUAUACAAAAAAUAUAAAUAAAUUUUAUUAGUAAAUAAUUUUAUUAAAUUAUUAAAUAAAUUAAUAUUAUAUUUAUUAGGUGAAAUUUUAAAUAUUAAAUUAAUUUAUAUAAAAGUUUUAAUUAUUAUGAAAUUUAUAUUUAAACUAGGAUUAGAUACCCUAUUAUUUUAAAUGUAAAAUGUAUUACUAAAGUAGUAUUAGUUAUGAUCUUGAAAUUUAAAGAUUUUGGCGGUAUUUUAGUCUAUUUAGAGGAACCUGUUCUAUAAUUGAUAAUCCACGAUUAAUUUUACUUAUUUUAUAAAUUUGUAUACCGUCGUUAUUAGAAAAUUUUAAUAGAAAAUAAAUUUUUAAUAUUUUAUAUUAAAAAAUAUAUCAGAUCAAGGUGCAGUAUAUAUUUAAGAAGAAAUGGGUUACAAUAAAUUUAUUUAUAUGGAUUAAGAUAAGAAUAAAUCUUAUGAAGGUGGAUUUAAUAGUAAUUAAAUAAAAUUAUAUUUUAUGAUUUUAGCUCUAAAAUAUGUACAUAUCGCCCGUCGCUCUUAUUAUAAGAUAAGAUAAGUCGUAACAUAGUAGAUGUACUGGAAAGUGUAUCUAGAAUGAC
rnacentral:ncRNA from 1 species